UUGGCCACCUCCUCUUCUUUCUUGUCCUUGAAUAGAGAAUGUUUCCUUAUUCUCAUAACAAACUUUGCCAGAUGUAUGACAAACACUCCCACAGAAAUCCUCCCUUUUUUCCUUUGAUUCUCUCUUUCUCUAGCCUUCUUCUUCCAAGAAAGGUGUUACCCAUCUAUCCUAAGUUGCUGCAGAAUGCUGCUGAUGGAUUGUAUACUCUAAGAGGACCUGAAAAUAAAAACAAAACAAAACAAAACAGGUGAUUAAAGCAAACAGAGGUUAAAUGACUUUCCCAGUGUCACACACUUGCUCCUGCUGCCUGUUCCUGCCUCCAUCCAUCUGCUUAGGACCUGCUUGACCCAGAUCACUCUCUCACCCCAGCCCCAGCAACUCUACUCCUCUGAGCCAGAUCAUCUCAGGCCAGCCCUAGGACCCAGGCUGCUGGUAGGUGCCCCUGUGUCUUCAGAAUCACAAACCAACUGGUAAAAACUGGGGUGUUCUUUCCUUAGGCAAAAAUUAGCCUUCAUGUGGCAGGGGACGGUGGGGUAGGGAGGACGAGGAGAAGGAAGAGACUUUUCCAAACAGGAAGUUGAUUACUAAUAUGGCAUAUUCUAUGAGAGAGCAGUGCAGUGUGUAUUUCAAAGGAUAUUUUUGGAGUGCACUGAUCCUUUUAUGUAUUUUACCCGAGAUUCAGGGGAUAAAUUCAUCUCCCUGCAACUCUUUGCCAUUUGGACCUGCCCAAUUUGAGAUUCCUAAAACCCAUGUUCUUCCUUGAUAUGGGAAAUUCCACAGUACUGACAAAAGGAAUCUCAACAGAUAAAAAAAAAGAACUUUAAAGAGACUGGAGGUUAUAUUUUUAAGGCUUUUCAGACUCCAAUGUUUUAUAAACAUCUCUGUAUUUUAUUGCAUUUUGCAGAUUCUUUGUUUAAAAUUUAAUUUUGUGGUUUUUAAGUUCAUAUAUUAAUAUAUUCAAUACCAUUUUUGUUACACUGAAUCAUUUUAAUGUACUGGGUUUUAACUACUGUUAUAUUCUGUUUAUUUCCCCCCUAUAACUAUACUAAACAAAUAUUAUUGAAUAAGUCCAUAUACAAAAACAGCCUUUUCUAUUUUGGCUUUGUAAAUUGUCACAUUGAGGAUGGAUGGACUUCAUCAAAACUGGUUAAAAUUGUAUAACAACCUUUAGAAAAUUUAAUGAGCUAAAUAUCUCAAAUUGAUUUUAAGGGGUCUUUAGACAUGAUUUUUAGAUUUUUUUCAACAACUCUGAUCAUUUUGCCUGCCUCUAAUAGGAGGUAAGAUUCAUUUUAG
rnacentral:lncRNA from 1 species